AGUGAACGCUGGCGGUAGGCCUAACACAUGCAAGUCGAACGGCAGCACAGUAAGAGCUUGCUCUUACGGGUGGCGAGUGGCGGACGGGUGAGGAAUACAUCGGAAUCUACUUUUUCGUGGGGGAUAACGUAGGGAAACUUACGCUAAUACCGCAUACGACCUACGGGUGAAAGCAGGGGAUCUUCGGACCUUGCGCGAUUGAAUGAGCCGAUGUCGGAUUAGCUAGUUGGCGGGGUAAAGGCCCACCAAGGCGACGAUCCGUAGCUGGCCUGAGAGGAUGAUCAGCCACACUGGAACUGAGACACGGUCCAGACGCCUACGGGAGGCAGCAGUGGGGAAUAUUGGACAAUGGGCGCAAGCCUGAUCCAGCCAUACCGCGUGGGUGAAGAAGGCCUUCGGGUUGUAAAGCCCUUUUGUUGGGAAAGAAAAGCAGCAGGUUAAUACCCCGCUGUUCGGACGGUACCCAAAGAAUAAGCACCGGCUAACUUCGG
rnacentral:rRNA from 1 species